rnacentral:misc_RNA from 1 species
AAUAUACUAAAAUAUAAGGGCAAAUGGAUGCAAAACUACUCUAAAAUGCCUAUAUGAAAUGAGUAUAACAGAUAACACCUAUAGGGAAAUACCCUAAUUGCCACUUUUAUGUAUUGGCUUGCAUGAGUAACUUAAUAUGAAUGAAACUCUUUGAGUGAUCUCUGCUUAGUAUUUAUUGCAUUAAGAUAUUUGGUCUACAGCAGGCAACCUUUUUUUUAUUUUUUUUCUGAACUGUUGUCCUGAUGGGGUUAUUGAUUUACCAAGACCAUUUUUGCAACAAUUGAGGGGGUGGGGCGGGUGCAGGGAAGUUUUCCUUAGUUAGCAUUGCAUACUAAUUUUCUGUAAAUCUGCUUCUUUGUCUUUAGUUGGCUCAUUAGAUAUUUGUAUUUUGUACUGAAUUUAUGAACAUUUGUCAUUAGUACAUUGUCUUAUUAUAGAAUCUGGGUAUGACAGAUGUAGCAGCAUUGAGAUUUGGUUCCAACUUUGAAAAUGUGUUACAACUUUGUUGAGUUCCUGGUUUACUACCUCUUAAAAUUUGGUAUAUUCAGUUCCACAAAUGUGUGUAACAUUGGCUGACCUGUUGCAGGUGGUAUUGGAUAAAUUGGUUAAACCAUCAAAUGUCAUCAUUGACUACAAUAC